rnacentral:rRNA from 1 species
GUAGGGAAUCUUCCACAAUGGACGAAAGUCUGAUGGAGCAACGCCGCGUGAGUGAAGAAGGUUCUCGGAUCGUAAAACUCUGUUGUGAGGGAAGAACAAGUACCGGAGUAACUGCCGGUACCUUGACGGUACCUCAUUGGAAAGCCACGGCUAACUACGUGCCAGCAGCCGCGGUAAUACGUAGGUGGCAAGCGUUGUCCGGAAUCAUUGGGCGUAAAGCGCGCGCAGGCGGUCCCUUAAGUCUGAUGUGAAAGCCCACGGCUCAACCGUGGAGGGUCAUUGGAAACUGGGGGACUUGAGUGCAGAAGAGGAAAGCGGAAUUCCAAGUGUAGCGGUGAAAUGCGUAGAGAUUUGGAGGAACACCAGUGGCGAAGGCGGCUUCCUGGACAGUAACUGACGCUGAGACGCGAAAGCGUGGGGAGCAAACAGGAUUAGAUAACCGAGUAGUCC